AGACGGAAAGACCCCGGAAGCUUUACUGCAGCUUGGUAUUGGUCUAAAGGUUUUAAUGCGUAGCAUAGUGGGGAGACUUUGAAGCGAUUCUUUCGGGAUUCGUGGAGUCGUCAGUGAAAUACCCAUCUUUCUUUCUUUACCAUCUAACUCCAACGGCAAAAACGUUGGAAGACAGUGCCUGGUGGGUAGUUUUAAUGGGGCGUUAUCCUCCUAAAGAGUAACGGAGGAGUUUAUUAAGGUCAGCUAAGGUCGGAUGGAAAUCGACCGCAUCGUGUAAAGGCAGAAGCUGGCUUGACUGCAAGUCCUACAAGACGCGCAGGUGCGAAAGCAGAACUUAGUGACCCGACGGUUCAUUAUAGAAAGGCCGGAGACAUCGGCUAAAAGCUACCCUGGGGAUAACAGGCUAGUGAGAUCCGAGAGUCCCUAUCGACGAUCUCGCUCGGCACCUCGAUGUCGGCUCGCCCUAGCGCGGGGCUGGAGAAGGUCCCAAGCGUAUGGCUGUUCGCCAUUUAAAAAGGUACGCGAGCUGGGUUCAGACCGU
rnacentral:rRNA from 1 species